GUUGAACGCUGGCGGCAGGCCUAACACAUGCAAGUCGAGCGGAUGAAGGGAGCUUGCUCCUGGAUUCAGCGGCGGACGGGUGAGUAAUGCCUAGGAAUCUGCCUGGUAGUGGGGGAUAACGUCCGGAAACGGGCGCUAAUACCGCAUACGUCCUGAGGGAGAAAGUGGGGGAUCUUCGGACCUCACGCUAUCAGAUGAGCCUAGGUCGGACUAGCUAGUUGGUGGGGUAAAGGCCUACCAAGGCGACGAUCCGUAACUGGUCUGAGAGGAUGAUCAGUCACACUGGAACUGAGACACGGUCCAGACUCCUACGGGAGGCAGCAGUGGGGAAUAUUGGACAAUGGGCGAAAGCCUGAUCCAGCCAUGCCGCGUGUGUGAAGAAGGUCUUCGGAUUGUAAAGCACUUUAAGUUGGGAGGAAGGGCAGUAAGUUAAUACCUUGCUGUUUUGACGUUACCAACAGAAUAAGCACCGGCUAACUUCGUG
rnacentral:rRNA from 1 species